rnacentral:rRNA from 1 species
GACGAUUCCUACGGGAGGCAGCAGUGGGGAAUAUUGGACAAUGGGCGCAAGCCUGAUCCAGCCAUGCCGCGUGUGUGAAGAAGGCCUUCGGGUUGUAAAGCACUUUCAGCGAGGAGGAAGGGUGGUGUGUUAAUAGCACAUCAUUUUGACGUUACUCGCAGAAGAAGCACCGGCUAUCUUUUGCCAGCAGCCGCGGUAAU